ACAGUAUGAACACACACCCACACACACAGAGUCACACAGUCAGACCAGGCAUUGCAGGAAAGCCACGUCAGGUCAGCACAUGAAUCCACGGAAAAGGACUGAUAAAUUAAUGUGACACAUCACAUCAUCUGACACCAACUAACGCUGAAUUUACAAAGGGACAUCACCCAAGCUGAACUGCCACAGACUCGGAAGCAGCUGUAGAGCCGGAGUAUCUGCCGUCCCGCUGAGAAAUCCAGAGCAUCACAACACCCAGAGAAAUACAAGAUGGCUGCUGGUCGUAUCGCUCGUGCUUUUGAAUACCCUGUGGGCGAAGAGAACAGGGCAGCAUUCAGAGAGAAAACACUACGUGUCAAUAAAGACAUUCUGUAUUAUCAUACAGGUGCUGAUGGUCCAACAUGUAGCCUCAUGUAUUUCAGCACACGUUUCAGAGAAUGGUUGGAUACACUGAGGCAACAAUACCCUGAACUUCAGGAAACUCAACAGAAUGGUAAAAUCAUCCUUCAGUCCAAGGAAGGUGGAGGUACCAUAACUUUGUAUCCGAGUGUAGAGGUUCUGGUACAUGGCAAAGAACUGAGGGACAGGUUUGAGCAUGAUUUUCCACAAAUGGUACAAGCAGUCAGGCCAGGUAUAGGUCGUACUGGUGAUGGAGCUCGCCCUUUUACAUACCCUGAAGAACUGACAAAAGACAGUCAGAAGGAGAGGUACAGAAAGGGAAUGCUGCAUGACAAUGAAGACACUCUCUUUUAUGACAAAAGGAAUGGUAAAAAAUACAACCUCGUUUUCUUUAGCAAACGUGUACUAAAAUGGCUGGAAUUAAUGAAGGAAAAGUAUCCUACACUUCAGGAAAAAACACAAGAUAAUCUUAUCAAACUCAAGGAUGAGACCAAGCGAGGUACCAUAAGCUUAUAUCCUGAUGUAAUAGCUGUGGUAGAAGGCCAGCUAAUGGAGAGGUUUGAGAGAGAUUUUCCACAACCAACUGACUUAGCAGCAGCAAUGGGAGGGUUAACCUUAAACAAUAAGAAAAAACAUCCUGAUGAGCCAGAGGGUGAGGGCACACUUGACACACCAUCUAACCCAGCCAACUGAGGAGAAAGAAUGCCUGAUGAAUAAGGAGAGAAACUAGAAUUACUGCCACGCUGUUGUUUGCCUCCGCGCACCAGUCAAGUUUCUCUUACAGUGAAAACACGAAUGCUCAAAGGCAUAAAAACACAGAAUAGAAAACUGUAAAUAGCUGAUUCUUAAAGCUUUAUCCUACUACUUUAUUUUAGGAAUAUGUAAUUGGGUUGUCAAAUCUAUUAUAUACUGUUUUCUGAUUUGUAUUUAGUUUGUAAGGCAGGGUUUCCCCGGGUUGUGUGUGAGUUUUAUUUUGCAGUUUUUCAGUUUAUAGCAAUAUAGAUGCCUUGACAUGGCGACUUAAUAGCGUAUGGGAAGAUUCUUAUAAACAUUGGUGCUCAUGCAUACAGGGGAAAUUUGUUUUGGUGUUUAUGUAUUGUUUCAGAAUGUGUCACAGAAAUGUCACGAUAAUGUAUCUUCUGAUUGUGUUGUAUGACCUCAGCACACUCUGGUCUGUCUGCAGGUUAUAGAGGAAACAAAGAGCAGCCUUGUACUCACUGAGCAG